rnacentral:rRNA from 1 species
CCCUUAGAUGUCCUGGGCCGCACGCGCGCUACACUGAUGCAUUCAACGAGUUUUACCUUGGCCGAGAGGCCUGGGCAAUCUUUUGAACCUGCAUCGUGAUAGGGAUAGAUUAUUGCAAUUAUUAAUCUUGAACGAGGAAUUCCUAGUAAACGCAGAUCAUCAAUCUGCAUUGAUUACGUCCCUGCCCUUUGUACACACCGCCCGUCGCACCUACCGAUUGAAUGGUCCGGUGAAGCCUCGGGAUUGUGGCGAGUUCCCUUUAUUCGGAGUUUGUCGCGAGAACUUGUCUAAACCUUAUCAUUUAGAGGAAGGUGAAGUCGUAACA